rnacentral:lncRNA from 1 species
UUUUUUAACAUGUACUGUUUUGUAUAGAGUUCCCCCCCAGUGCCUGACUUUUGUCCCUAAUUAACACCUGACGAGGGGGACGAGGACAGCUGAGAUCCUUCAGGAGGACACUUCUGGGCAGAGCUACUAACCCACCACCCAGUGAGGGCGGGGUCCAUAAGUCAUGAAUAACAGGGGGAGGAGAUAAUUAUUGUUUGUGGUGGAAGGAGAUGAUAGAUGGCAUCUUCACAUGCUGGGGCUUGGGUUUUUUUUUUUUUUUUUUUUUGGCUCUGCUUGCAUUUCCAGUGGUAAGUCUGUAUGUGAUACAGCGUCAGGCCAAAUAAAUCUGGGGAAAAACCUUCCCUGUAGUAGACUGGGGAAAUGUUGCAGGAUGCUAUGGCAAUACCAAAGGGCUCCAGAAGGAUGUCACACAGCAGAAUUGUGAAAAAUAACGGACGAGGAGAGGGUGUGCUCCCAUCCAAUGAAAGGCUUGGCAACUCUGUUCAGCUUGAGAAGAGAUGACAAAGGGAAGAUUCAAAUUGAUGUUGAGGAUCCUGCUGAUGAUGAUUCUGACUGAUAAAAGAAUGAAGUCUCCUGUUCACUGCAGAGAGAUGCUGCUGCCAGAGCAGUGCUUUCGCUGCCACAGAAACAAAUGCACCCUCAGGAUUUAUCUCAGUCCAGCGGAAAUAUGUUCUCUGCAAAACGUAAUGAAAGUACAGUUUGGUGUCACCAGAAUAUUAUUUCUCUUACCUAUCUCUUUUAGUUCUGUACAUGUGCAGGAAGAUGUCAGCUCUCUUCUUUGGAAGUAUGACAUUCCUAGAGGGACAUUUCUCUUCUGUUUUAUUUUCAUUUUAAAGAGAGGAUUAUUUUAUUUUAUUUCACCCAGCCCUCCAACAGCUUUUAUGUGGGGCUGGUGA